AUUGAACGCUGGCGGCAGGCUUAACACAUGCAAGUCGAACGAGUGGCGGACGGGUGAGUAAUGCUUGGGCAUCUGGCUUAUGGAGGGGGAUAACUACGGGAAACUGUAGCUAAUACCGCGUACCAUAGGAUGAGCCCAAAGGGGAUUAGGUAGUGGGUGAGGUAAAGGCUCACCAAGCCGACGAUCCCUAGCUGGUCUGAGAGGAUGACCAGCCACACUGGGAUUGAGACACGGCCCAGACGCCUACGGGAGGCAGCAGUGGGGAAUAUUGCGCAAUGGGGGCAACCUGAUGCAGCCAUGCCGCGUGAAUGAAGAAGGCCUUCGGGUUGUAAAGUUCUUUCGGUAGCGAGGCGUUAACUACAGAAGAAGCACCGGCUAACUCCGUGCCAGCAGCCGCGGUAAUAC
rnacentral:rRNA from 1 species